UAAUACGGAGGGUGCAAGCGUUAUCCGGAUUCACUGGGUUUAAAGGGUGCGUAGGCGGGUAUGUAAGUCCGUGGUGAAAUCCUGCAGCUUAACUGCAGAACUGCCGUGGAUACUAUAUAUCUUGAAUAUCGUGGAGGUUAGUGGAAUAGGUCAUGUAGCGGUGAAAUGCUUAGAGAUGACAUGGAACACCGAUUGCGAAGGCAGCUGGCUACACGAUAAUUGACGCUGAGGCACGAAAGCGUGGGUAGCAAACAGGAUUAGAUACCCUGGUAGUCCACGCCCUAAACGAUGGAUACUCGACAUCAGCGAUAUUACUGUUGGUGUCUGAGCGAAAGCAUUAAGUAUCCCACCUGGGAAGUACGAUCGCAAGAUUG
rnacentral:rRNA from 1 species